GCACUCACUUUGGCAGCACAUAUACUAAAACUGGAAUGAUACAGAGAAGAUUAGCAUGGCCCCUGUGUAAGGAUGACAUGUAAAUUCAUGAAGUGUUCUGUAUUUCU